rfam:Homo sapiens chromosome 11, GRCh38 reference primary assembly.
GUCAGGCAUGGUGGAACAUGCCUGUAGUCCCAACUACUUGGGAGGCUGAGGUGGGAGGAUCGCUUGAGCCUGGGAGGUUGAGGCUGCAGUGAGCCAUGAGUGAGCCACUGCACUCCAGCCUGGGCAACAGAGCGAGACCCUGUCUCUA